rnacentral:misc_RNA from 1 species
AUGGGUAAAUUUCCAUCCUUCAGCCAGAUGUAUUUUUCCUUGUAGCAUAGACUCGGUAAGCUGCCAGCCCAACGAUUGCCACUGCAGCUCCAACUACAACAGUGAAACAUAACCAUUAACACAGCAGAUAAUUUUUGUUAACAAAAGUUAACAUCAAUAAUUUAGUUAUUCAUUCAAUCGAGGAUCAAUCGACAGAGAAGACUCUGAAAUUUCAUCAAAAGUGAUUUAAUGCACAAUGGUAUAAAAUGUCUAACAGCACAAUAAUCCUGCUUUUAAAGAAAUGAAUAUGACUUCAUAAUUCCAAACCAGUUGCAUUUUAAUCCUUCAAAAAAUUCCAUUUAUAGAACAAACUUGACCCAAUUAUAGAAUUAAGUCACGUCACCAAAAGCCAAAGAUGACCAUUGAGCUUUGCAAGAACACAAAGGCUAGUUUUAACCAGACAAACUCCUAGAAUACAAUAAAUUUUUUCAGCAGUACUAUAAUAAAAAGGUUAAAAAAAAAAACUUCAAAUCAUGUAGAGGGUUAAACACUACCACACUCGAGUGACUGGCAACAUUCAAUCAUAGUUCUGACAACAACUAACUGAUAGGAGAAUAGAAAUAGACCGAGUCCAAUUUCAAAGUGACCAAGAGCAAAUCUAUCAAAGCCCAGUGAAAUUCCAAAACUCAAGUGCUUUAGGAACUUGGUAGUACUAGGAGCUCGGGAGAUUAGC